GCGGGAGUGGCGAAAUAGGUAAACGCACCAGAUUUAGGUUCUGGCACUUUAAAAGUCUACGAGUUCGAGUCUCGUCUUCCGCACCA
rnacentral:tRNA from 1 species